rnacentral:rRNA from 1 species
GACGAACGCUGGCGGCGUGCUUAACACAUGCAAGUCGAACGGAAAAGCCCUGCUUUUGUGGGGUGCUCGAGUGGCGAACGGGUGAGUAACACGUGAGUAACCUGCCCUUGACUUUGGGAUAACUUCAGGAAACUGGGGCUAAUACCGGAUAGGAGCUCCUGCUGCAUGGUGGGGGUUGGAAAGUUUCGGCGGUUGGGGAUGGACUCGCGGCUUAUCAGCUUGUUGGUGGGGUAGUGGCUUACCAAGGCUUUGACGGGUAGCCGGCCUGAGAGGGUGACCGGCCACAUUGGGACUGAGAUACGGCCCAGACUCCUACGGGAGGCAGCAGUGGGGAAUAUUGCACAAUGGGCGGAAGCCUGAUGCAGCAACGCCGCGUGCGGGAUGACGGCCUUCGGGCUGUAAACCGCUUUCGCCUGUGACGAAGCGUGAGUGACGGUAAUGGGUAAAGAAGCACCGGCUAACUACGUG